GACGCCACUGCACUAGGAACAGAUCCACGUGAAAAAUGGCAAAAAAGCCCUAAGCCUCUUCCUGUCCUCUCAUUUUCUCUCCAUUCUCCCACCAAAUCUUAUCUACCCAUCACCUAAUAUCAUGAUUUCUUCCACAAAUCAGCCACCCAACUCGAUUUCUUGACUACCCAUCAACAAAUUUCGUGGGUUUUCUUCAAACCAUGAAAAUUUGGGCGUUUUCGACGUUUUUUGAUUUUUUUUCCUUCAACCAGAGGUUGGAAGUGGGUAGUUUAGGAGAUUUUUUUUUUCGAUUUUUAGGUUGAGUUCUUUUUUCACCGAGCUUUUAUUUGCGUUGCUCUGAGUUGUGUAAUUAGCGUAAGAUUUCAAUGACACCCAAGAGAAAUAAGGGAAAAAAUGUAGCUAGUACCUCUAAUAAUCAGCCCUAGUACGACCAAUAUAGAUUUCCUUCCUUAGGGGCAUAUAAGUACUUCCGUAGGAUUUUAGUGGCCAAAAUCCUUAUUCUUGAAAGAGUCUUACCAUUAGGGGAGGAUAUUACCCUCAUCAUUACUGACGAGAUUGAGAGACGAGAUCGGGAGGAGUUAGCUAGUUGCCCCGAAGUUGGAAUAGCCCAAUUGUCAGGGAAUUUUAUAUUAACAUAUAGGAGGACAGGGAUGUCUCUGUUGUUAGAGGGAUACCAGUUUCCUUUUUUUCUUUUCCUGCAUUAACGUUUACACAAUGGCUGAUAUGAGGGAUGAUGAGUAUUCUCAUUUCUUGUCUCAACUCUUUGAAGAAAGCUCAGUUGCUGAGGUCCUCUGUGGACCAGGGAUCGACUAGGAUAGGACGAACAAUGAACCGAUUAAGCUUACUGUAGGGAUGUACUAGUCUCGAACCAAAUCUGGCACACGUUUAUUUGAUCAGAUUAAUGUUAGUCAAUGUGUAGCAGACGUGACCAAGGACAGGGAAAAUUUUCAUCUUAUUUUAGUUUAGGUUUUAUUAUUUUUGGGUUGUAUUCUAUGGAGAAUAUCAAUUCAUCUCUCCUUCUUUGUCUAUGACGUCAUCGAGAUGAGUUUCUCGGUUCUUGAUCUUAGGAUGUAAACUUAUGUAACAACUUUGAGGAUUUUUUUGUAUUAAUUUCAAAUUGAUUUUAUGCAU